rnacentral:rRNA from 1 species
UCGGGAAUUUUGGGCAAUGGGCGCAAGUCUGAUCCAGCAAUGCCGCGUGCAGGACGAAGGCCUUCGGGUUGUAAACUGCUUUUGUACAGAACGAAAAAGUCUUUAAUAACACUAGAGGCUCAUGACGGUACUGUAAGAAUAAGCACCGGCUAACUACGUGCCAGCAGCCGCGGUAAUACGUAGGGUGCAAGCGUUAAUCGGAAUUACUGGGCGUAAAGCGUGCGCAGGCGGUUAUAUAAGACAGAUGUGAAAUCCCCGGGCUCAACCUGGGACCUGCAUUUGUGACUGUAUAGCUAGAGUACGGUAGAGGGGGAUGGAAUUCCGCGUGUAGCAGUGAAAUGCGUAGAUAUGCGGAGGAACACCGAUGGCGAAGGCAAUCCCCUGGACCUGUACUGACGCUCAUGCACGAAAGCGUGGCGAGCAAACAGGAUUAGAUACCCCAGUAGUCCCUGAGCGGGCUGGCAAGGCGCAU